GUUAGCAGUUAAACCAGCUAGACGGAUAGAGUCCAGUACCGCCUGCACUUUGGGAAGAUGUGAAGCCCAGUCGGAACUGUGAAUGACUAUGUCAUCUAAGAAUGCGGCCGCAUAACGGCUGUGAGGCUUCAAAAUCCUAUCAAUCAGUCUUUGAAAAGUGGCACGGGCCCCAUGUAACCCAAAUGGUAGCACCUUGUAUUGGAAUAAUCC